rnacentral:rRNA from 1 species
GAUGAACGCUGGCGGCGUGCCUAAUACAUGCAUGUCGAGCGAACAGACGAGGAGCUUGCUCCUCUGACGUUAGCGGCGGACGGGUGAGUAACACGUGGAUAACCUACCUCUAAGACUGGGAUAACUUCGGGAAACCGGAGCUAAUACCGGAUAAUAUAUUGAACCGCAUGGUUCAAUAGUGAAAGACGGUUUUGCUGUCACUUAUAGAUGGCUCCGCGCCGCAUUAGCUAGUUGGUAAGGUAACGGCUUACCAAGGCGACGAUGCGUAGCCGACCUGAGAGGGUGAUCGGCCACACUGGAACUGAGACACGGUCCAGACUCCUACGGGAGGCAGCAGUAGGGAAUCUUCCGCAAUGGGCGAAAGCCUGACGGAGCAACGCCGCGUGAGUGAUGAAGGUCUUCGGAUCGUAAAACUCUGUUAUUAGGGAAGAACAAAUGUGUAAGUAACUAUGCACGGCUUGAGGGUACCUAAUCAGAGAGCCACGGCUAAGAACGUG